AUCUUCAAUAAAUGAGUAGCAAAUGUUUAAAUCUUUUCUUUAUUAAUGUGUGGGUUCAACAUGCAUGGAUGCAUAUAUCUUUAAUAAAUGAGCCAAUUAAAUAUGAGGUGCACAAAUAUCCAAAUCUUUGCAUGCAUAGGCUCUCUCUUCACCAUUGAUUUUACAUCCAAUGGAUACAAUUCGAGCAACAUGUCAACUUUUCCCCUCGAUGGCCUUAUAUAAACCCAACUAUCCCCAACUAGAAGAUACACACCACAACAAUAUAGCCACUGUAUUGAUAUCAAGAAAAAGGUCUAUCCUAGCUGCUUUAUACUAAAGCAAUAGCCAUGGGAAAGCUUUAUGGUUUGUUCUGGGUUAUGGCCUUGGUAUUGGCUACGGUGGCUGGUACAAAAUCCGAUGAGGGUUGCAGUCGUGAUCUUCAGGACUUAAUUAUGGAGUGUCAAAAAUAUGUUAUGAAUCCUGCAAACCCAAAGAUAGAACCCUCAAACGCAUGCUGUAGCGUAAUCCAAAAGGCAAACGUCCCAUGUUUAUGCUCCAAGGUCACUAAAGAGAUUGAGAAGAUAGUGUGCAUGGAGAAGGUCGUGUAUGUUGCUGACUAUUGCAAGAAGCCACUACAGCCUGGCUCCAAGUGUGGAAGCUACACGAUUCCGUCUCUACAACAAUAAUUGGAUAUGAUCAAGCAUGAAGAUGAUGGCUUUGUCUUUUAGGAUAAGUGUAAUUUGUGAGGUUGUCCAUUGGCAAUAAUCUAUUUUGAGUCAUUUGUGGGGAAUUGUGGCCAAUGUGAGUGGGAUAUUUAAUAUUGUAAAAUAAAUAUUAAAAAUGAACAAAUAAUGUCUUUUAGAUUUUCUAUCUUU